UUUAUUGACUUUAGGAAAGUGAAAAGGAACAUUUGAAAUUCUGAAUAAGUCUCUGGUCAUGAACACAUCUCAAUGUCAAUAAUGGAAGGGAAAGCAAAUUGAAUUUGAACGAAGGACCCUAAACUAUCUCAGUUUGAACAAUAUGGAUGCUACCUGAACAAAGCCGUAGAAAGUAAAGACAGCCUGAUCCCAUCUGAAAAUGAGAAGCCCCUGGCUAGGAGUUCCCAGUGCUUCCAGUUGCAUUACUUGGGUAAAAUGGCCGGCCUUUACCGCAGCUCGACCACUUUCCCGAAGAAGUACUUUAAUACGUCGUGUAACCCAGGAUAGACAUUAGUCAAGAGCCUUCGUCCGUCGAAGCAACACCUCCAGACCUCUAUUUCAGUCUCAAAGUGAGGAUGACAGGAGGCCCUUCCAGUGAGCGAGUGGCGAACUGGCAACUCCGGCAGUAGGUGAGUUUCUAAAGCGUAAUAAAUGGGGGGGCGAUUAAGUUACGCAGUGAGGUUGUUGCCGCCGGAGGGAGU